GCCGCUGUGGCGGAACUGGCAGACGCAAGGGACUUAAAAUCCCUCGGGUGAAUAACUCGUACCGGUUCGACCCCGGUCAGCGGCACCA
rnacentral:tRNA from 1 species